rnacentral:rRNA from 1 species
GACGAACGCUGGCGGCGUGCUUAACACAUGCAAGUCGAACGAUGAAGCCGGAGCUUGCUCUGGUGAAUUAGUGGCGAACGGGUGAGUAACACGUGAGUAACCUGCCCUUGACUCUGGGAUAACUGCUAGAAAUGGUAGCUAAUACCGGAUACGACCCUCGGCGGCAUCGCCAGGGGGUGGAAAGAAUUUCGGUCAAGGAUGGACUCGCGGCCUAUCAGCUAGUUGGUGAGGUAACGGCUCACCAAGGCGACGACGGGUAGCCGGCCUGAGAGGGUGACCGGCCACACUGGGACCGAGACACGGCCCAGACUCCUACGGGAGGCAGCAGUGGGGAAUAUUGCACAAUGGGCGCAAGCCUGAUGCAGCAACGCCGCGUGAGGGAUGACGGCCUUCGGGUUGUAAACCUCUUUUAGUAGGGAAGAAGCGGAAGUGACGGUACCUGCAGAAAAAGCACCGGCUAACUACGUGCCAGCAGCCGCCGUAA